rnacentral:rRNA from 1 species
GACGAACGCUGGCGGCAUGCCUAACACAUGCAAGUCGAACGAUGCCUUCGGGACUCGUGGCUUCCGCAUGCGUUACUCUUGGGUACCUGCCCUUCGGGUCGGAAUCACUUCCCCAACGUACUUCUAAUACCGGAUUAUGCCUUCGGACCAAAGAUUUAUCGCCUUUGGAUGGGUCCGCGUUGGAUUAGCUAGUUGGUAGGGUAAAAGCCUACCAAGGCGACGAUCCAUAGCUGGUCUGAGAGGAUGAUCAGCCACACUGGGACUGAGACACGGCCCAGACUCCUACGGGAGGCAGCAGUGGGGAAUAUUGGACAAUGGGCGAAAGUCUGAUCCAGCAAUGCCGCGUGAGUGAUGAAGGAAUUAGGGUUGUAAAGCUCUGUUACACGGGAUGAAAAUGACAGUACCGGGAGAAUAAGCUCCGGCUAACUACGUG